rnacentral:rRNA from 1 species
GAGUUUGAUCGUGGCUCAGGACGAACGCUGGCGGCGUGCCUAAUACAUGCAAGUCGAGCGGAGUUAGACCUUCGGGUUUAAUUUAGCGGCGGACGGGUGAGUAACACGUAGGUAACCUGCCUGACAGACUGGGAUAACUACCGGAACGGUAGCUAAGACCGGAUACGACCAUUUGGGGGCAUCCUUGAAUGGUGAAAAGCGGAGCAAUCUGCUACUGAUAGAUGGACCUGCGGCGCAUUAGCUAGUUGGUGAGGUAGUGGCUCACCAAGGCGACGAUGCGUAGCCGACCUGAGAGGGUGAACGGCCACACUGGGACUGGAGACACGGCCCAGACUCCUACGGGAGGCAGCAGUAGGGAAUCUUC